GAUGAACGCUGGCGGCGUGCUUAACACAUGCAAGUCGAACGGGAAACCUUUUAUUGAAGCUUCGGCAGAUUUAGCUGGUUUCUAGUGGCGGACGGGUGAGUAACGCGUGGGUAACCUGCCUUAUACAGGGGGAUAACAACCAGAAAUGGUUGCUAAUACCGCAUAAGCGCACAGGACCGCAUGGUCCGGUGUGAAAAACUCCGGUGGUAUAAGAUGGACCCGCGUUGGAUUAGCUAGUUGGCAGGGUAACGGCCUACCAAGGCGACGAUCCAUAGCCGGCCUGAGAGGGUGAACGGCCACAUUGGGACUGAGACACGGCCCAGACUCCUACGGGAGGCAGCAGUGGGGAAUAUUGCACAAUGGGGGAAACCCUGAUGCAGCGACGCCGCGUGAAGGAAGAAGUAUCUCGGUAUGUAAACUUCUAUCAGCAGGGAAGAUAGUGACGGUACCUGACUAAGAAGCCCCGGCUAACUACGUGC
rnacentral:rRNA from 1 species